rfam:TPA: Bos taurus chromosome 23, whole genome shotgun sequence.
UCCCUGGUGGCUCAGAUGGUAAAGAAUCUGCCUGCAAUGCAGGAGACCCAGGUUCGAUCCCUGGGUUGGGAA